rnacentral:rRNA from 1 species
AUUGAACGCUGGCGGCAGGCCUAACACAUGCAAGUCGAACGGUAACAGGAAGCAGCUUGCUGCUUUGCUGACGAGUGGCGGACGGGUGAGUAAUGUCUGGGAAACUGCCUGAUGGAGGGGGAUAACUACUGGAAACGGUAGCUAAUACCACAUAACGUCGCAAGACCAAAGAGGGGGACCUUAGGGCCUCUUGCCAUCGGAUGUGCCCAGAUGGGAUUAGCUAGUAGGUGGGGUAACGGCUCACCUAGGCGACGAUCCCUAGCUGGUCUGAGAGGAUGACCAGCCACACUGGAACUGAGACACGGUCCAGACUCCUACGGGAGGCAGCAGUGGGGAAUAUUGCACAAUGGGCGCAAGCCUGAUGCAGCCAUGCCGCGUGUAUGAAGAAGGCCUUCGGGUUGUAAAGUACUUUCAGCGGGGAGGAAGGGAGUAAAGUUAAUACCUUUGCUCAUUGACGUUACCCGCAGAAGAAGCACCGGCUAACUCCGUG